GACGAACGCUGGCGGCGUGCUUAACACAUGCAAGUCGAACGGAGUGCUCAUGACAGAGGUUUCGGCCAAUGGAUUGAGUUACUUAGUGGCGGACUGGUGAGUAACGCGUGAGGAACCUGCCUUUCAGGGGGGGACAACAGCUGGAAACGGCUGCUAAUACCGCAUGACGCAUGACCGGGGCAUCCCGGACAUGCCAAAGAUUUUAUCGCUGAAAGAUGGCCUCGCGUCCGAUUAGCCAGUUGGCGGGGUAACGGCCCACCAAAGCGACGAUCGGUAGCCGGACUGAGAGGUUGAACGGCCACAUUGGGACUGAGACACGGCCCAG
rnacentral:rRNA from 1 species